UACGUAGGGUGCAAGCGUUAAUCGGAAUUACUGGGCGUAAAGCGUGCGCAGGCGGUGAUGUAAGACAGAUGUGAAAUCCCCGGGCUCAACCUGGGAACUGCAUUUGUGACUGCAUCGCUGGAGUGCGGCAGAGGGGGAUGGAAUUCCGCGUGUAGCAGUGAAAUGCGUAGAUAUGCGGAGGAACACCGAUGGCGAAGGCAAUCCCCUGGGCCUUACCUGACGCUCAGGUGCGAAAGCUAGGGGAGCGAACAGG
rnacentral:rRNA from 1 species